rnacentral:lncRNA from 1 species
CAAAGUUCUCCAGUUGUCUAUUAGAUGCUAGUAUGCCCUACAACUGAUACCUAUGACUAACCAACUCUAUCUGCAAGCACAGCUGGCCACCAGAGCUCAUGACUAACAUCCCUAGACAUAGGGUAGCGGCUAACAUAAUGACUUUUAGAUAAUGGCGCUGUAGGCUCAGGCAGCCACCAACAACUUAUCAGAUCAUGGCUUAGCAGGUCCCAGGCUACCUAUACAACUAUGGCAUGGUAACCUAUGAC